rnacentral:lncRNA from 1 species
UGUCAAAAAGUAAUUUUGAGUUUCUGUAUAAAAUAUUUUCUGCUUUUUCUUUCUUUUACAUAUAUCUUUUGAUUUUCAAUUCUAGUGUUUAUAUUCAUUUACCGUGCAUAGAUGUAUUUUGUCACCUGCCUGGUUUUUUUUGUAGUUGAUCGCCAAAACCCGGAAUUACCCUUAUCUGCUUCCGGAAUCCGAUCCGAUAUUGUAAAUUUUUGUCUCCACGGCAGCCAUUGUUAUUUUGUUUACAUUGUUGUUUUGUCAAUCAGAUACGAUUUUACUCGAAUUUACACAUUAAUUGUCAGUGAUUUUCUGUAUAAAGCGAGCGGUUGAACAAAAUGAGCAUCGCUGUCAUGAAUAAUAAUAUUGAAAAUAAGUUUAUAGAUCGUUUAUUUAGAGACUUUGGUGAAAAGGUUUGCAAAGUUAUUUCUUAUUUUCUUUCAAGUGGAAGGUGACUCCAUC